UAGCAGCCAGACACAGAGCCUAUCGUGG
rnacentral:piRNA from 1 species